AUUAGCUGGUUGGUGAGGUAACGGCCCACCAAGGCGACGAUGCAUAGCCGGCCUGAGAGGGCGGACGGCCACAUUGGGACUGAGACACGGUCCACAUUUAUACGGGAGGCAGCAGUGGGGAAUAUUGCACAAUGGGGGAAACCCUGAUGCAGCGACGCCGCGUGAGCGAAGAAGUAUUUCGGUAUGUAAAGCUCUAUCAGCAGGGAAGAAAAUGACGGUACCUGACUAAGAAGCCCCGGCUAAAUACGUGCCAGCAGCCGCGGUAAUACGUAUGGGGCAAGCGUUAUCCGGAUUUACUGGGUGUAAAGGGAGCGCAGGCGGCUUGGCAAGUCUGAUGUGAAAGGCUGGGGCUCAACCCCAGGACUGCAUUGGAAACUGUUAGGCUGGAGUGUCGGAGAGGUAAGCGGAAUUCCUAGUGUAGCGGUGAAAUGCGUAGAUAUUACGAGGAACACCAGUGGCGAAGGCGGCUUACUGGACGACAACUGACGCUGAGGCUCGAAAGCGUGGGGAGCAAACAGGAUUAGAUACCCUGGUAGUCCACGCCGUACACGAUGAAUACUAGGUGUCGGUGGGCAAAGCCCAUCGGUGCCGCAGCAAACGCAGUAAGUAUUCCACCUGCGGAGUACGUUCGCA
rnacentral:rRNA from 1 species